AUUGAACGCUGGCGGCAGGCCUAACACAUGCAAGUCGAACGGUAACAGGAAGAAGCUUGCUUCUUUGCUGACGAGUGGCGGACGGGUGAGUAAUGUCUGGGAAACUGCCUGAUGGAGGGGGAUAACUACUGGAAACGGUAGCUAAUACCGCAUAACGUCGCAAGACCAAAGAGGGGGACCUUCGGGCCUCUUGCCAUCGGAUGUGCCCAGAUGGGAUUAGCUAGUAGGUGGGGGAACGGCUCACCUAGGCGACGAUCCCUAGCUGGUCUGAGAGGAUGACCAGCCACACUGGAACUGAGACACGGUCCAGCCUCCUACGGGAGGCAGCAGUGGGGAAUAUUGCACAAUGGGCGCAAGCCUGAUGCAGCCAUGCCGCGUGUAUGAAGAAGGCCUUCGGGUUGUAAAGUACUUUCAGCGGGGAGGAAGGGAGUAAAGUUAAUACCUUUGCUCAUUGACGUUACCCGCAGAAGAAGCACCGGCUAACUCCGUG
rnacentral:rRNA from 1 species